rnacentral:rRNA from 1 species
CAUUAUUGAUUGUAAACUGUUGCCCUCUGUGCUGGCUCCUGCAAGUGCACGUUGGUGACUUUCAUUCCAAUACCCCUGUGAACCUUUGGCCUCUUGCUAGCUUCCGCUGGCAGAGGAUUCUACAUACAAACUCGAAUGUAAUGAAACUCUUGUUGUGCACAAGCACUACUAUAUACAACUUUCAACAACGGAUCUCUUGGCCCUCGCAUCGAUGAAGAACGCAGCGAAAUGCGAUAAGUAAUGUGGAUUGCAGAAUUCAGUGAAUCAUCGAAUCUUUGAACGCACCUUGCACCCUUUGGCAUUCUGAAGGGUAUGCUCGUUUGAGUGUCAUUGUACUCUCACACUUCCGAUCUUGCAUUGGGAGCGGUGGACUUGGGUUUGCUGCCUUACCGUAGCUUACCUCAAAUGUGUUAGUGCAGCUCUUGGUUGGACAUAAUACGGCGUGAUAAGUAUCUUCGCCGGUGCCUCGCAAGAGGGUGGCCGAUCAGGAUGGUGUGCUCCAAACCGUCUUCGGACAAUCUCUGACAACUUG